UGGUAGUUCAGUUGGUUAGAAUGCCUGCCUGUCACGCAGGAGGUCGCGGGUUCGAGUCCCGUCCA
rnacentral:tRNA from 3 species